rnacentral:lncRNA from 1 species
GAGUUUGUUUCAUUGGGUGCUGCUGCGAGGCCCUCCAUUUAAACUCUUAGGUCACCACAGUUGGGUGGAAUCUUUGCUUUGCUCCAGGAUGUCAUGGGCUAUGGAGUAAAGAGUAGCUACUGCCUGAAGUGACUUUUGGAAGAAGCUUUGUACCAGCUGUGCUCCUCCAGGUCUGUCAGCUGCCCAGCGGAAGUUUGCUCACUCUCUCAGAGACUUCAAGUUUGAGUUUAUCGGGGAUGCUGAGACUGAUGAUGAACGGUGCAUAGAUGCCUCCUUACGGGAAUUUUCUAACUUUCUGAAGAAUCUGGAAGAACAGAGAGAAAUCAUGGCAUUAAGUGUGACUGAAACCCUGAUUAAGCCCUUGGAGAAAUUCAGAAAAGAGCAACUUGGAGCUGUAAAG